ensembl:antisense Gm15179 predicted gene 15179
CUAGCCUGAGACUGGCCCCUGGACUAUGGGAAUCCCGCAGCAUCUCAAGGGGCCAGGAGAGGUUUUGCCAGGGAAGCCAUAGGGAGCUAAAGCACACUGGAAGAGCUGACUCCGGAGCUACAUAAUCAUGGGAGCCGUGAACCUUCCGCGGACAGUGAGGCUAUGUGUCCCCCUCCCGCCGACCUAUGUGUCCUUUUGCCCUGUGUGGAGCGGAUGAGUACACACGAUUCACUCAGGGAGAAGGAGAAACAGCGGGACUCUAGAAACUUCUUUCAGACCCCUGCUACUGCAGCCUUAUCCACCAAGGCCACGCCCUCAGCGCUGGGGUUUCUCGGAGCAUUCAGCGCACGUGUUCAAAGGUAGGCAGUUUCAAAGGGCCUCAUUAGGAAGCAGAGGCUGGCUUUGAACCUGAAGUCUUCUGGUCCCAACCUCUUGAGCCCCUGUUAGGAUUACAGGCAGCACACCGGCCCUGGCUCCCUCUGGUAUUUUAAUUGAGACUAAAUUCCAUUGGAACUGCUUAUGGAUAGAGGGUGGC